GUCCUGAGCAGGAGGAUUUUGUCAUAAGCCCAGCAGCAACCCUGGGCUUCCCUGGUGGCUCAGAUGGUAAAGCAUCUGCUUGCAGUGUAGGAGACCCAGGUUCGAUCCCUGGGAUGCGAAGAUCCCCUGGAGGAGGGCGUGGCAACAUACUCCAAUAUUGUUGCCUGGAGAAUCUAAUGGACAGAGGAGCUGGCGGGCUGCAGUUGCAAAGAGUCAGACAUGACUGAGCAACUAACACUAACACACAGCAGCAACUCCAGGGACAGAGCAAAACUAGCUGACUGGUCUGGGACAUAGAAGCUUCUGGAAGAGCAUAAUGGCUUAUGCCUGCCACUGUUAGGAGGCUGGUCACGUGCUACCUGCUGCCUGGGACCAUCCUGGGACAUGGGCCAGGUGUCUAAGGUGGGGAGGGAUGGGAAGGUGUAGGUCCCGGGGCAGAUUUUUUUUCAGGUGGCUGGACCCCUUUCUCAAGGGCGGUGCGCCUCUGAAGGAAGUGGUCGGGACCCCCCCCCCCAACUCUGCAGGGGGUGUAGCUGCGUGUGACAAGAUGAAGAGGCUGCCCCUCCACCCUGUCCCUGGAGCUGGCUUACGCUCCCGGGUCCACUGCUGGCCUUGCUCUGAAAUGGCUCAAAACUCACUGACCUCACUGGUGGACAAUGCUCGACCCUCUGCCUGUGAUGAGAAACACACUCCUUCAAAUCCGCAUCCUCAGUGGAACAGCCGUGAGCCAGAGCUGAGCCCCACCCACAUGGGACCUCUCCGGACCUCACGGCCCAGGGCUCAGGAGCUGCAGUGUUCAUAUCCCAGGAGAGGCAGGGGAGACCUUAGGAGGUAAGGGACUGGCCACUGUCAUACAGCCAGAGUUGCAAAGUAUGGCUAGAACUCAGGUUUCACUGACUCAGGCCCGAGCUUAACCCCUACGCUGACCAGCAUUGCACAUAGGUGGUCUGUCUCAUAGGAAAGGCACAGAUGCCCAGUUAUUAGAAACAUCCUGGUUAAUGCUCAGCUCUUAGAGUUUGCUGACCAUGUAAUGUGUAACCUGCAUGAACAGUCUCAGCUCAGGAUAUCAGGAGGAUAUGGCUAACUCACCUCACUGAACAACAGAAACUAAACACAACAUUGUAAAGCACAGAAAGAGAUUCUCUCAGUCGCAUCCGACUCUUUGUGACCCUACAGACUGUAGCCCGCCAGGCUCCUCUGUCCAUGGGAUUCUCCAGGCAAGAACACUGGAGUGGGUUGCCAUUCCCUCUCCCAGGGAAUCUUACCAACCCAGGGAUGGAACCUGGGUCUCCUGCAUUGCAGGCAGAUUCGUUACCAAUCUGAGCCAUCAAGGAAGCCCAUUGUAAAGCAAUUAUGUUCCAAUUUUUAAAAUAUGAAGCAGGAGAAAUAAUAACAGUGUAGUAUAGAUUCUGCACUGAAGGCCUAGUUUUGUGUUUUUUUUUUUUUAAUUGAACUAUAGUUGAUUUCCAAAGAGUUGCUUCCUGCUGUAUGACAAAGUUGUUCAGUAUAUAUAUACAUUUUUCUUUUAUAUUCUUUUCCAUUGUGGUUUAUCGCAGGAUAUUGAAUAGAGUUCCCUGUGCUAUACAGUAGGGCCUUGUUGUUUAUCCAUCCUAUAUAUAAUAGUUUGCAUCUGCUAAUCCCAAACUCCCAAUCCAUUCCUCCUGCUGCUGUUUAAUUGCUAAGUCGUGUCCGACUCUUUGCAACCCCAUGGACUGUAACCAGCCAGGCUCCUCUGUCCAUGGGAUUUCCCAGGCAAGAAUACUGGAGUGGGUAGCCAUCCCCUUUUCCAAGGGAUCUUCCCUACCCAGGGAUCAAACCCAGGUCUCCUGCUUUGCAGGCAUAUUCUUUACCCUCUGAGUCAGCAGGGAAGUCUUGAUUGAAGAUUUAGGUUUUAAUCCCAUGUUUGUGCUUCAUAAUUAGCUCUUAGGCAUGGGCUUGUUAGUGGAGGUAGCUUAGAACUCACACAGACCCUUCCAGGCCUCAGUCUUCCUGUUGAGAUGGGAGGAGUAGCAUCAGCUAUAUCAUGGGGAGGGUGAAGUGCUCAGCUCAGCCCUCAUGGGCAGUGACUGUUGACACUAAGUAUUAGCCUGAUGGGCAGUGGCCUGGGGCCAAUGACUCAACCUCUGUGAGCUUCCGUUCCUCAUCAACAAAACAGAGAAAUAAAAAUAACCAUGACAUAUGAAGCCGGAAGUCAGAAUCAAAAUCCUGGUAGGCAGUCAAUGAUCACUAAUUAUUGCAGCAGCAACAGUGCGAACGUCCUCCGAGCUUUAAAUGGCUCUGUUAGAUGCUUCCAGACUGUUUCUCAAAGCCGAGUGUUACUGGGCAUCGGUAUCCUGAUCUCUGCGCAUUUUUAAAGGUGUCGACUAAAAGGAUACACAAUGGGCUCCCGCUUCUAUGAACAUGCCUGUCCACUAAAAAGUGGCUACUGCACCAAACCCCUUGGCUUGCAUCUCUCCUCGCCCCAAAAGUCCUCCACUCCAACCCAGCACUCAGUGGCUCCCUCCUGACUGCCAUCUUCAGGAAGCCAAGAGACCCUGCCCCUGGUGGCAUCUGAUACUCAAAAGAUUUCUUUAUGAACAAAUCCAAACUCCUGCCUGGUGUCUGCACCCUCCCACCUGGUGUCCCGGGGUGCCAUGUACCUGCUCACCACUGGAAGAGCAAAUUCUGAUUGUUCUGCCUCGCUGUCUUUGCUUCGGCUGUGUUUGCUGCCUGUGACUCCCAACUCCCCAGGAUCCACCCCUCAAAACUUCGCAUAAGUAAUGGUUUUUCCAGCAGCCACAUAUGGAUGUAAGAGUUAGACCAUAAAAAUGGCUGAGCAUCAAACAAUUCAUUUUUUCCAACCGUGGUGCUGGAGAAGACUCUUGAGAGUCCCUUGGACAGUGAGAAGAUCAAACUAGUCAGUCCUAAAGGAAAUCAACCCUGAAUAUUCAUUGGAAGGACUGAUGGUGAAGCUGAAGCACCAAUACUUUGGCCACCUGAUGCAAAGCGCCGACUCACUGGAAAAGACCCUGAUUCUGGGAAUGAUUGAGGACAGGAGGAGAAGGGGGCAACAGAGGAUUAGAUGAUUGGAUGGCAUCACCGAGUCAAUGGACAGGAGUUUGAACAGACUCUGGGAGAUAGUGGAGGACAGGGAAGCCUGGCAUGGUGCAGUCCAAAGGGUUGCAAAGAGUCACAGAGUCAGAUGUGACUUAGUGAGUGAACAGCAGAGCUUCCAGUGAAUCUUCUGCAAAAACCUAGCUGCCCUUCCCUGAUCACAGCUGUCUUCAGGAGGUUUAACAUCAGCCAUUUCCUACCCUUGCUGGCGUGACCUCUCCAGGGCUGCAGCCUCUUCCUGGGCACCAGGGACCCAUUUGCAGCCUAAACUAUCAAUACACUGGAGUUCUGUUUAUCCUGCACCCAGGAGGUAGUCACCAAGGACUUACAGAAAAACUAGGAAGCUCAGGCCUUGCUUAUCAACAUGUGGGACUCCACGGACUAUAGCCUGCCAGACUCCUCUGUCCAUGGGAUUCUCCAGGCAAGAACACUGGAGUGGGUUGCCAUUUCCUCCUCCAGGGCAUCUUCCCAACCCAAGGACUGAACUCUCAUCUCCUGUUUCUCUUGCACUGCAAGCAGAUUCAUCACCACUGAGCCACUGGGGGAAGCCCGUCAACCAGUGUUACCUACCGUCAAUCCUUUCAAAUCUCCAGAGACCCGCAGGCAGCAUCUGGCAUGGUGUGUGCGUGCUCAGUCUCGUCUGAUUCUUUGUGACCCCAUGGACUAUAACCUGCCAGGCUUCUCUGUCCAUGGGAUUUUCCAGGCAAGAAAUACAGGAAUGCGUUGCCAUUCUCUUCUCCAGGGCAUCUUCCCCGCCCAGGGAUGGAGCUCACAUCUCUUGUGUCUCCUGCAUUGACAGGUGGAUUCUUUACUCCUUGCGCCACCUGGGAAGCCCCCAGCAAUAGGCGUGUUUCCUAAUUUAGAGAGCGACAGGCCUCUCUGUUGGGCUCUGAAUCCCCUGCCCGCAGCGCUCUCAUUCUACAGGGUCUGUCCUGGGUUUGCACAAGGAACCAGAGAACUAACUUCGAGGUGAGCGUGGCCUUAUGUUUUGCUGCUGUUUCUGUGUGUGCCAGUUCCUGUUCCAGCAAAGAUCCUUCCAAAGGUGACUCAGCCCAUGUGCCAAGACCAUAUUUAGCCCUCCCCGCUGGCUCUCAUACCUGUCAGACCAGUGCUGGCAGCGUACUGCCCUGGGGACACCUGUGACAGCCAAAGCCUCCUGGAGGAGACCAGCGGGCAAGUGGGGUCACGCACCAGGAUCCCAGAAAGGGUCUCUUCUGUGGGCUCGCCCAUCACUUCUCUACUCCGCUUUCUCCUUCCCAGGAUCAGCUGGAGAGUGAUCCAAGUAUUCUCAGUCCUCAAUGGCUCGGCUAAGAUAGAACUGUUGCCCAGCAGCUGUUCUGAAGAAAAUUUGUAUCUUCAGAUUUUAUAAGAUGAGACUUGAAUAAAAGUGUUCUGUGAUCAAAGACAUUGGGAGAACAUUCAACAGAGGUUCAUCAUUGUUUUUUUCUUUUUAAAUGCAUCCGUUCUUUAAAAAUAAUCUUAUUGAUUGAUUUCUUCAUUGCUGCGCUCGGGGUUUCUCUAGUCGCAAUGAGCGGGGGCUACUCUGCGUUGCAGUGCGCGAGCUUCUCACUGUGGUGGCUUCUCUUGUUGCAGAGCACGGCCUUCGGGAGCUGUGCCUCCUGGACUCUGGAGCACAGGCUCAGUAGUUGUGGUGCAUGGGCUUAAUUGCUUUGAGGUAUGUGGGAUCUUCCCAGACCCGGGAUGGAAGCUGCACUGGAAGGCAGAUUCUUUACCACUGAGCCUCCAGGGAAGCCCCCUUUCUCGUGUUUCUCUAUUGCAGGGCUUCUCAGGACCCUUAACGUGUGUGGUUCUCCAAGAGGGUGAUGGUUCCCACAGCAUUUCUAAAGCUUUUAGAGAUCGUAGGUGUCUUUGCUCAAGAAGACUGCUGAGGGGGUGCACAGUGAGAAAUGUAGUCCAGGAGCUGUGGUUGCGUGAACCAGCGCCAGACCUGG
ensembl:lncRNA